rnacentral:rRNA from 1 species
UACGUAGGAGGCGAGCGUUUGUCCGGAAUCACUGGGCGUAAAGCGCGUGUAGGCGGGAAGCUCAGUCUGUGGUGAAAGCGCCUGGCUUAACCGGGCGAGGUCCAUGGAAACUAGCUACCUGGAGGCCGGUAGAGGGGGGUGGAAUUCCGGGUGUAGUGGUGAAAUGCGUAGAGAUCCGGAGGAACACCAGUGGCGAAGGCGGCCCCCUGGGCCGCGCCUGACGCUGAGACGCGAAAGCGCGGGGAGCGAACGGG